UCAGGCAGCCAAAACCUUGUGUUAUUUUGUCCACAAGACAUAUGCGUGGCCUCCGUGGCAAUGUUUGCCCCAUCAAACAGCUGUGGUACUUCAGCCCCUGACUUCAGUUUUACAGUGGAAAGAAGAAAAGAGUAUAAUUAAGAGCCAUACAUUGCAAGGGAUAAGUGGAGCACGCCUGUUAGUGCCUGCACGUCACCUGCCGCCUUCAUCUGUUAAAGCUGAUGCCUUCAAGGUGAUAUAUCUAGUUCAUCUUUGGGCAAAAAAAAGCACACAAAAAGAACAAACCAUUUCAAAAUAAUGCUCUCACAGAAAGCACAAGCACCAUCUGACACAGCCUGGAAAGCACCGUGGGGCACAAGAGGCACCAAGGGCCCCAUCUGGUGUAACUUGUUUUGUCAGCAAGCAGAGAGCGCUCACCCAUGCAUAUGUUACCGCUUAUGUUGUUUAACUGGUCAAUGAUGUUAAUUACAAUUAAAUGUUCAUUGCAGAACUUUAUAGCUUUACGGGUACAGGAACAUAGACGUGAUUAACUAACUACAGACUAAAUGGAAAUAUUUCUGAAACUAAUGUUUCUGAAAACUAUUAAAGGAAUUUAGUCAAGUUAUAUUUCCUGUAACUAACUGGCAACAGGGAAACAGAUAAUGCAACCACAUCUCUAAGGAGUACAUUAGAGGGAAGCUACGAAUACCCUUAUCCAGCCUCGUAGUUUAUGUGUGGAUAUUCACAGUAAUAAUCUCUGCUCAAAAAGCUUUUGCAUCGUAUCUCCCAGCAUCUGUAGUCCUACUGAAAAUAAAUAAAUAAAUAAAUU